rnacentral:rRNA from 1 species
UACGGGGGGGGCAAGCGUUGUUCGGAAUUACUGGGCGUAAAGGGCUCGUAGGCGGCCAACUAAGUCAGACGUGAAAUCCCCAGGCUCAACUUGGGAACUGCGUCUGAUACUGGAUGGCUUGAAUUCGGGAGAGGGAUGCAGAAUUCCAGGUGUAGCGGUGAAAUGCGUAGAUAUCUGGAGGAAUACCGGUGGCGAAGGCGGCAUCCUGGACCGACAUUGACGCUGAUGAGCGAAAGCCAGGGGAGCAAACGGG